rnacentral:rRNA from 1 species
AGUCAAUAGAUACCCGGGUAGUCCAUGCCGUAAACGAUGAUUGCUAGGUGUGGGGGGUCUGACCCCUUCCGUGCCGGAGUUAAACACAAAUAAGCAAUCCACCUGGGGAGUACGGCCGCAAGGUUGAAACUCAAAGGAAUUGACGGGGGCCCGCACAAGCAGUGGAGUAUGUGGUUUAAUUCGAAGCAACGCGAAGAACCUUACCAGGUCUUGACAUCCACCGAAUCCUGUAGAGAUACGGGAGUGCCCUUCGGGGAACGGUGAGACAGGUGGUGCAUGGUUGUCGUCAGCUCGUGUCGUGAGAUGUUGGGUUAAGUCCCGCAACGAGCGCAACCCUUGUGAAUAGUUGCUACGAAAGAGCACUCUAUUCAGACCGCCGUUGACAAAACGGAGGAAGGUGGGGAUGACGUCAAAUCAUCAUGCCCCUUAUGACCUGGGCUACACACGUACUACAAUGGUCGUCAACAGGGGGAAGCAAGACCGCGAGGUGGAGCGAACCCCUAAAAACGAUCUCAGUUCAGGUUGCAGGCUGAAACUCGCCUGC